GAAAUUUAGCCACACAGCAUGACCUGCCCAAGGUCAAACAUCAGCUCAGUGGCGGAGCCAGGAAUUCAAUCUACAUCUCUUGACUCUCAGUUCAGUACCCAAAGAACUGGAGAUUAUAUGGAAGCAUCUGAAUAAACAAGAAUCCUAGCUUCUAGAAAAAAUCCAAUGUUCUCAAUGACAACUCUUACAUUGAUGAUCAUUCUAAUGGGGAAAACAAUUCAGCAUUCAUUCAGACUAUAAUAGGCUUUGCUCCAGAAUUCUUCCCAUCUUAUGAAUACAUGAUGCUGCACUCUGGGUUGGCAAAAAAGAUAGCUCUUUAUGUCCAAUACGGCAUACUGCAGCAGAGAAAGUUGUGAUGAGUCUCAUUCAUUGGGGACAUGGCUUCACUUCUGGACUCAAACGGGAGAAAUAGAUAAUCUGAUUGAGCCAAAACUUUAGAAACAAACCCUGAAAUCCUGAUGGACAGAGGGUCAUGCUAAUUUCCUCCUUGAUGAGUUUAUUACCCAUAAAGUUAUCCUUAGGUGGAACUCUACCUCUGAGUUAGAACUUAACCGGCAGCCAAAAAUGAUGAACCAAGGACUUGAAAUGGGGUCACUGUGCUGUUGGAGGUGAAAUCUUUGUGACAACACAGCAAAUUGAGGCCCAAAUACUGAUGUUCGUUAAAGACAGUCAUUUUUCCUGAUAAGAUCAUAAAGUACACAGCUGAGGAAGGCUACAACGCUCAUAGGUGCUGGCUACGUUAGCUGCACCUACACUGAAGUCAAUGCAUUUGCAUCAACAUGCAAGCAGAGUUUGUCCCAUUUUACAUAAUUUAUGUCUCACUCUGCUCUAGUCAUAACACCGAGUUUUUUGACCUUUUUAAUAUUUCAUGUUUUGAGUAGCUAGUAAGAUUCUUCCCCACAGAUUACAAAGGUUGAAACAAGAGAAGAACUAAAAUGUCCAUUGACUCAAAUUAAAAAAAAAGACAAAAUAGCGAAAGCUAUUAGUUAAAGCAACACUAAUUAAUACAAAAUAUGAGACACUGUUACAGAUUUGAUCUCCUGUUCAAAGUGUUAAAGUUCAUAGUCAAUGCAGUUACAUACAUUAGUCUACAGAUAAGUACAUAUUGAUUCAUAGACAUACGCAGAAACAAGCUUGUCUCGUGCAAUUUGAAGGAAGCAGUCUCAGUGUGAAUCGGAACCAAUUAAAAAGUGCUUAUUGAUUUCACAGUGGAAUGAAUGUAUAAACCAGUACAUUAUGGGCCAGAUUUAUUCGUAAAUUCCAGUGCUUUGUACUGCUUUGGUGAUGCAAAACAGCUGUAGACCAUCUGAGUUGGUCAUUUCAGAUGUUUUUUCUUCUGGUAUCCAGAAGAUACUUACAAAUCUGCCCCUAAGUGUAUAACAAAAAUGAAAAAGUAGGUCAACCGCAAGCACUGACGUGUGCACCAUUACGUUUUGUGGUUUCAUAAACGUAUUUUUGUACUGCAUGAAAGAUGGAUAGAAAUCCUGUUUCCGAUAAAUACACAUCAGACAUGUGUCAGUUGUGUAAAAACCAUUCCAUUGCAAAAGUGAUGACAAUGUAAUAAAUGUGAUCAAGAUGCAGUAGCUAUGGUUGCAAGGGGUCUUGGUAUUGUACUGAACUAGUGUGCAUACAUGUGUGUUUGCACACAACUGCCUUCUACUAGAAUCAGAAAUGUUCAUAUGUGUUCAUAGGCCCUUAGUGUAACCCCUUUGGGGUUUAGAGAGCAUGGCCCCUUUAAAUCUUUU